GCUACGCCGGCCCAGACUGGUGUGUGAGAUGGCUGGAUGCGACCGGGCGCCUCUCGGGGCGGCCCCACGCGCUCCCUAGUACCCGUGGGACCCUCGGCCAGCCCCAGAGAUCCUCCACGUCCCCUUUUCGCUGCCCGCGGCUUUUCUGGAACGACACACUGCCUCCCACCGCCUCCCGACGCCAGGCUCGCGCAGGCGUCCGCCAGCGCCCUCCGGCGGCAACCCUGCAAACUGUAACCUGAAAUGCAUUGACACGUGUUGGGAGAGAGGGUUAGGGAGGAAGCCUAGGUGAUGUCAGGUUUCCACACUGAUGACGGAGAUCUUAACCAAGACAGGUCGUGUGGGAGGAGCUCCCACACCCCGGUCCUCGAGAGAACCUGCAGGGACAGCUCCCGGGACGGGACUGAGCUCCGCGGUGGUGACUGCACCUGCCCGCAACUUCCGCUUCUGCUCUCGAAUGUACUUCCUCCAUCUUCCUCCGUGCGGAAACCUCCAUGGGGCUGCCUGGGGCUGCCCGUACAGAAUUAGUCUUCCUCCCGACCCCCAAAUAAAUCUUUUUUGCUGAAUGAACACCUGGCCGACUUUUUAUUUAUGUCCAGCAUAUUUGGGGCUCAUCGGGAGCCAGAGACGACUCCCCCAUAGCUCCAGGGCUGGGGAGCCAACAGGUGUGGCGCCCACAGGCCCAUCUAAGUUCCCUUUUUUCUCCACGGCUCGGGAGCCAAAGGGGGAUCGAGCCUCAACCUGGGCAUGCGCCCUGACCUGGAAUUGAACCAGCCACCUCUUGGUGGGUGGGUUGAUGCUCAAACGCCGAGCCGCACCGCCUGGGCCAUGCCCUCUGUCUUCUUCAUGGUUUACCCCUGUGAAUUGUAGCCAUCGUGGCCUCCCGGAGUCAUGCAGUCCGCUCGGGGCGACAAGCGGGCUCUGCCCGAGUUCUCCCUCCUCGCUGUCCAUCCUGAAAGCUCUCCAAGGAGCAAGCUGGAGCAACCAUUUCCACGUGCUGGAAACAGGUCACGAAGAAGCCCACCCUUUGCCAUCUGGAAGUGAGAACAGACCACGUUUGCAGAACUGCCCGCCGUCACCCACAGCAACACCUCUCCUUCCCGCAGGACGGAGGGACCCGCCUCAGGGAGGGACAGUGACCUGCACGGCCACCCCCCUCGAGACGGAGCCCUUUCCACCUCUGGCUCCGAGGCCAUGAGUGCUCACUUCGGGUCCUUUCCCGUCUGGCGACCUUUG